CGGGGGGAGCAAGCGUUGUUCGGAUUUACUGGGCGUAAAGGGCGCGUAGGCGGCGUGACAAGUCACUUGUGAAAUCUCCGGGCUUAACCCGGAGCGGCCAAGUGAUACUGUCGUGCUAGAGUGCGGAAGGGGCUACUGGAAUUCUCGGUGUAGCGGUGAAAUGCGUAGAUAUCGAGAGGAACACCUGCGGCAAAGGCGGGUAGCUGGGCCGACACUGACGCUGAGGCGCGAAAGCCAGGGGAGCGAACGGGAUUAGAUACCCCGGUAGUCCUGGCCUUAAACGAUGGAUACUUGGUGUCCGGGGUUACAUAGUCCCCGGGUGCCGGCGCUAACGCAUUAAGUAUCCCGCCUGGGGAGUACGGUCGCAAGACUG
rnacentral:rRNA from 1 species